rnacentral:misc_RNA from 1 species
GAUGAAGAACGUAGCGAAAUGCGAUAAGUAAUGUGAAUUGCAGAAUUCAGUGAAUCAUCGAAUCUUUGAACGCACAUUGCGCCCCUUGGUAUUCCGAGGGCCAUGCCUGUUCGAGCGUCAUUAUAACCCCUCAAGCUCAGCUUGGUGUUGGGGCCUGCUGCACUGGCAGCCCUUAAAAUCAGUGGCGGCGCCAUCUGGCUCUAAGCGUAGUAAUUCUUCUCGCUAUGGAGUCCUGGUGGAUGCUUGCCAUCAACCCCCAAUUUUUCUAUGGUUGACCUCGGAUCAGGUAGGGAUACCCGCUGAACUUAAGCAUAUCAAUAAGCGGAGGA